CAAAAAAAAAAAACUAGAUUUCUAUAUACAACGUUUAACUGUCUAUCUUAUAUGAAAUUUUUUUAUAAUUAGUAUUUUUAAACAUAAUUAAUACUUUAUGCGUGACUUGUCUUUUUAAUUUUUUUUAUAAUUUUUUUAAAUAAGACGGACGGUCAAACGUUGAACACGGAAACUUAGGUUUGUUUUUUUU
rnacentral:pre_miRNA from 1 species